GACGAACGCUGGCGGCGUGCCUAAUACAUGCAAGUAGAACGCACAGUUUAUACCGUAGCUUGCUACACCAUAAACUGUGAGUUGCGAACGGGUGAGUAACGCGUAGGUAACCUGCCUGGUAGCGGGGGAUAACUAUUGGAAACGAUAGCUAAUACCGCAUAAUAUUGAUUAUUGCAUGAUAAUUGAUUGAAAGAUGCUAUUGCAUCACUACCAGAUGGACCUGCGUUGUAUUAGCUAGUAGGUGAGGUAACGGCUCACCUAGGCGACGAUACAUAGCCGACAGGAGAGGGAGAGCGGCAGCAGUGGGAAUGAGAAACGGCCCAAACUCCUACGGAAGGCAGCAGGAGGGAAUAUUCAGCAAGGGCAGAAAGUCUGACAGAGCAACGGCACGUGAGUGAAGAAGGUUUUCGGAUCGUAAAGCUCUUUUGUAAGAAAAGAACGGGUGUGAGAGUGGAAAGUUCACACUGUGACGGUAUCUUACCAGAAAGGGACGGCUAACUACG
rnacentral:rRNA from 1 species